rnacentral:piRNA from 1 species
UCCAAGAGAUGUGCUAUGCCUCAAGAGGG